rnacentral:rRNA from 1 species
AGCUGCGAUAAAUAGUGCGAAUUGCAGAUGCAUUGAGCACAAAGAUUUCGAAUGCACAUUGCACCAUUGGGUU